rnacentral:rRNA from 1 species
UACAGAGGGUGCAAGCGUUAAUCGGAAUUACUGGGCGUAAAGCGUGCGUAGGCGGUUAUCUAAGUCGGAUGUGAAAUCCCCGGGCUCAACCUGGGAAUUGCAUUCGAAACUGAAUAGCUAGAGUUCGGCAGAGGGAAGUGGAAUUUCCGGUGUAGCGGUGAAAUGCGUAGAUAUCGGAAGGAACAUCAGUGGCGAAAGCGACUUCCUGGACCAGAACUGACGCUCAGGCACGAAAGCGUGGGGAGCAAACAGG